UUGUUAUUCCCUUCUUGGGAGCAGUCAAUGCCUAAUAACUCUUUGCCCCAAGUGUAUCAGUUCAAAUCUCCUCGUCAAAACUCAAAACAAGUGCCUAGCUCUCUACCUUCAGAGUUCCUUUCAUCCCACAACUGUCCAAGUGCAUUCCGUUGGGAACUCCCUACAUGCUCAUUGCUGUCUCAAGAGUCCACUUUUUGGGGAACCUUAUUUUCAAUGAGAAGUAAAGAAAUGUUCAAAGGUCUAUAAAAUAAAAUUAAAAAACAAAAAAAAAAAACAAAAAAAAACAUUUAUCACUGGUAUUUGUGUGUGUGUGUGUGUGUGUGUGUAUGUGAGUAUAACAUGUCACUGGUAUGUGUGUUAAACAUUUAUUAAUGGUAUGUGUAUGUGUAGAAUAUUUAUCGCUGAUUUAUGUUUGUGUAUGAAGCAUUUAUCACUGGGAUGUGUGUGUGUGAAAAAUAUCACUGGUAUGUAUGUGAAACAUUUAUCACUGUAAGACCUGAAAUCACUAUUCCUUUCUCCUUGUUUUUUAUGCCUGGAAAUAGGAAGCAACCAUGUUUUUUUUUUUUUUUCUGAAAAAUAAAUUCAAUAUAUUUAUUG
rnacentral:lncRNA from 1 species